rnacentral:lncRNA from 1 species
CCAAAGCAGGACCUUUCCCAGAGGCUGUGUGCUUUGGCCUAUCACAGAAGCUGUUAGCUUCUGUAGUACACACUCUCACCUGUGCAGACUACUUUCGGCGGAGUCCCAGAACCAAGAUGUCUCCCGCUGAUGCUGAGCGAAAGACCUCCGGGGCCGGGCCCUUAUCAACAUUCUUAACCAAUUGAGAAAUGCAAUUUAAAACUGCAGUGAGAUUUCAUGUAUCCACAUGGCAACGGCUUCAAUCACAAGACUGGCAAUAACAGUUAUGGAAGAAGAAUAGAUUGAAACUAAGAGAAAUACCUUGUGACCAGUCAAUUGAAAGGAACUCCAGCCUGCCCUGCUUUACUUCAAAUCCUGUACUCAUCCGAUGCCACCAUGUCAGGGACAUUGGCCAUGCUAAUGGAUGCUGCUUUCAACAGAGCGUUUAUUGAAGAUACAGAAAUGGAGAUCAUCUAUGACACUUCCUGUAUUGAUCCCCAGUUAAAAGCUGAGGGCACUGAAGUUAAAGCAACAUUCAUCGAGUGACUUGUGUUCAGAGAUA